AGUGAACGCUGGCGGUAGGCCUAACACAUGCAAGUCGAACGGCAGCACAGUAAGAGCUUGCUCUUACGGGUGGCGAGUGGCGGACGGGUGAGGAAUACAUCGGAAUCUACUUUUUCGUGGGGGAUAACGUAGGGAAACUUACGCUAAUACCGCAUACGACCUACGGGUGAAAGCAGGGGAUCUUCGGACCUUGCGCGAUUGAAUGAGCCGAUGUCGGAUUAGCUAGUUGGCGGGGUAAAGGCCCACCAAGGCGACGAUCCGUAGCUGGUCUGGGAGGAUGAUCCGCCACACUGGAACUUAGACCAGGUCCCGACUCCUACGGGGAGCAGCAGUUGGGAAUAUUGGACAAUGGGCGCAAGCCUGAUCCAGCCAUACCGCGUGGGUGAAGAAGGCCUUCGGGUUGUAAAGCCCUUUUGUUGGGAAAGAAAAGCAGCAGGUUAAUACCCCGCUGUUCUGACGGUACCCAAAGAAUAAGCACCGGCUAACUUCGUG
rnacentral:rRNA from 1 species